AUGUGUCUUAAAGCUCCAAACCCCUAAUCACAUGGUUAUUCUUUCUGGUAUGGCCAGCCCCUACCCUGAGUCACCUGGUUAAUAUAAACUACGGAGGGGCCCACCAUGAAUAACAAAGACAAUCCCAUCGCUCAGGAAAUUCCAAGGGUUUCAAGGGUACCACCCAGGAACCAGGAACAAAGGCCAGACCUUUCUUUGCGUAAAGGUAAUUCUUCACUGUGCCACAGCCAAGCCGUCAGGAAAUCCUGUUAAGUCUACCUUCAAAACAUAUCCAAAAUCCCUGGGGAAGUCAGCACAACUUGACCAGGGCAACAUCAGGGAAGCUUCACAGAUAACAGGAGAAACCUAUAAUGGCAACUGCAAUUGUGUGCUGGUGUGAUUAACAAGGCCUGUAUUUCUUUUCACAUUAUGUACGUAAAUGAGACUUAGUAUUUGUAGAGUUUCUCAUUAUUUGAAAAUCAGUCUUAAGUUCACAAUUUUUCCAUCACUUUUUCAAAUUCACCAUAUUUCUGACUGUUCUAUGCCAUAAUAACACUGUGGUUUUCCACAAUCCUUCCUUAUUUGACAUUUAUUAACUCCAAAAACCAAAAAUAAAUUGGCACAGGUUGAAAUAUUUACAACACAAGCAAUAAAAAUGUAACAUUUAAAGUUCAUCAUGAUGCCAAAGUUUCAUGUUGCAUGCUGUCUGAGGUUAUUAGAACUUCUCUAACAAUAUCCUAUGACCAAGCUCUGAGUGACCUUAUUAAAAUAUAAAGUCUUUAAAGAACACUGAAAGAAGCUCAGCAUGUACCUGUAAUGUAUAGUUGACUGGGAGUUUUCUGCAAUAGUACAGUCGGGUGAUCUGA